AUUUAGAUAUACUUCCCCAAUCGUGAUACUUCCCUUGUUUACAAUUGCGCUCUUUAAAUGCACACAGAGUAAGACUUCAGUGCCCUAACAUCUUACUUUGAAGUUCGAGAUAGAAUAUGAAUGUCACGACCGACAGAUGUAUUUUCGGGUUUGAAACUGCAGAGACUGAAGAGAAGCAGGAGAGUUGUGUGUUUUUAUCUGUAACUGUUCCCCCUUGUAAUGAAGACAGAUACAAUGUUGAGUCUGGAGUGGAUAAUUUAUUGUUUGAGGUGGACUUCAACAAUCAGAAAGUUGAAAAAGCCACCGAGCAACCAUUAGAUAGCUUUUUACAUGUAGAAUGUUCUGUUGAAAUGGUUGUCGACAAUAACAAUUAUAUGAGUGCAAAAUAUGUUACAACAAAUAUAGGACAAAAACUGGCUAUACAAGAUAUUUAGUAAGCCACAUAUUUGGAAGAUAUUUGUUUUAGCUUGUAAAAACAUUUUUUGCAUUAAAAUUAAAGGUUUGUUGUAGAUACUAAAAAACAUAAUUAUAAUUUUUUUUGCGUAUUAAUAUUGUCUAUAGAUUUUGUUGAAGUCUGUCAAGGCCAAUGUUACUGAAACUAUAUAUUUAAUUAAUUUCAGAAAAUAUUUGAAACAAAGAUUUAAUUUGAUUAAAAAAAAAGAGUUUCACUACGUGGCAAAAGUCUAUGAUUUGAGGUAAAGUUUAACUUUAUGAAAUUUGACUUGUACAAAAAAUGUUGAAAUUUUGUAGUUAUACGUUUAAAACGUGUCUGUCUAUUACUUUAAAAGACACAUUCUUGAAGUGUUUGUAAAGUAAUGAACUUUUGGUAUAAACCAUGCAAGCAUGAA